GGUCCUAGGGUCUGGUUCUGUGGUCUGGUUCUAGGGUCUGGUCCCAGGCUCCAGUAGGCAGUAGCCUAUCCAAGGAGUGACAAAAGCUGAUCGUUCAUCUGGCAGAAGGUUGUAGUUCUUCAGGACCUGAAUGAAUGAUAUCUCCUUCUUCUGCCUUGUGGGUUUGGGCUGGGGAAGCCCGGCCGGAACCCGAGAGACGUCACUAUUCCUCCUGAAGCCAGCAGGGGCAGCCAGACCUCCAGCCCGGAUGGGAACCAGGGGCUUGAGGUAACCAGGGGCUUCAGGUAGCCAGGGGCUUCAGGUGACCAGGGGCUUGAGGUAACCAGGGGCUUCAGGUAACCAGGGGGUUCAGGUAACCAGGGGCUUCAGGUGACCAGGGGCUUGAGGUAACCAGGGGCUUCAGGUAACCAGGGGGUUCAGGUAACCAGGGGCUUCAGGUGACCAGGGGGUUCAGGUAACCAGAGGCUUCAAGUCCCAUGGCCCGUCAGUCCCCCGUGGUCGGGCUUUUGGGGCGACAUCAGGGGGUGGAGGCCGAGGCAGAAAGACCAGAGGGGCAAGAGCUGGGGCUCUGGUGCAGGAGGCUUUCACGAGGGCCUCGUUGACCCCUCCACUCUCCAGCAGCAGGCUGUAACGUCUGGGUGGAACACCAGUGAGCCUUUGUCCAAACCUGUUCAGGUUCAGGCUGGGGAAUCGACUCAUCUGCUAGGAGGAAGAAUAUCUGAUAAAUACAUAAAUACACAAACAGUUUGUUUAUUCCUGUAAUCUUGAGAAUGUACAUGUCGUUUUUUAUAUUGUAUAUUAUGGCUAUUUUUUUUUAAUUCAAAAUGUUUACAUACUUAGCAUUAGUUAGACUUUGUACCUUUAGUAUAGUUAGACCACAUAUUUAAGAUUCCUAUAUGUUGAUUGUUGAAUGAAUGCACCUUGUAAUGGACUGUGCAAACUUUCAUGGCGAUUAAAACCCUUUCUGAUUCUGA